GAGCCGCGUCGUCACGCGCGUGGAGGGCGCUGGGAGGGCGGAGUCGGGGACUGGAGGAGGGAAGCCGGCCCGUCGCAUCGCAAGGCUCGUCGUCACGUGGUAGGCGCCCAGGCGGAAGUCUCCGGCAGCUCUUUUUACUGUGAGGCGCUUGCAGACAAACCACUCCUGGAAAAAGCGUGAAUACUGGUGACACUCGAGCUCAGCGCCGCUGGGACCACCUCCUGUGGGGCGUUUCUGCUCCUCCCCGCCGCGGAGGAACGGGUUGAUGUGGAAGGGGCGGUGGCGGCUGCCCGGGUGGGAAUGGCCGCGCAGGGCGGGUCACGUGGCCCCGCUUCCGGGCCCGGGCGCGGGCGCGCUGGGACUGCGGGCAGAGUUUUAAAUGCGGAGUCAUCUCCGAGCCUGUGAGCUGGCUCGGACUCCGCGCUACGGCGUUGGCGCAUCUCGCACAGCGUGGGCCUUGCGCUUGCAACAUUGUGUACGUGUUCCUACUAAAUACGAUGGGAGCUGAUGUGGCCCCGCCGCGCGCACGUCCCAGAAUUGAACUGAAAUCGGCGGAGUUUUGUGUCGCCACCGGGACAGCUUAAAAAGUCUCUGGGUUUAAGUUUCCCCAAGGAAGCAAACCAAGCACCCACUACGAGAUUAUGACAGAAGGGUAAUUCUCUGUAUUUUUUUUUAAAUACGUUGCCGAAAUUCUGUGACUGCACAUGGCCUGCAUGUACUAAUGUCUGAAAUACUUGCCCCAACGCACCGACUCACGUGGCCUGUCGCUGCGAGAGAGCUGGCAGAAAGUGUCCAAAUUAGAGUGCUGACCUAGUGUGCCUAAGCUAAAUCCCACCUUUCUGUCCACAGUUUACACAGAUCAGAGAAUGCUAUGUGGAGAAGGUACAAUUCACAGGACCUAAUUUUCUUGCCCUUAGGGAUUUCGAGAGACAUGGAAUGUAGUCUGGACGAGUGAGGGAGUUGAUCCUCAGGGCAGAGCAAAAGAAAAUGUCAAAGUUUUAUGCCGCUGAUUCCAGAUUUGAAGGAUACCAGACAUCCUACUAGACUAGAGAGAGAAACAGAUGCAACCUGCCAGGACAUGAAGGAAGAGAUUAGAGAAAGCAAGAUUAGAGAAAGCAAAGGCCAGUAAUGCUCAGAAAAUGGGAAGCUGUGGAUAGGUCUGUGAAUAGGUAUAAAGAAUAUCUGUUAACCUUGGGAUUCCUUUUAAGGCCAUAGGAUCCUCCAUUCAACUCUUAACAUUCAGUUGCUUCUCAGUUCCCUGCAUGGCCGCCUGCUUGGGGGCACUGGGAGCACUUGUUAAAAAUGCACAGGAGCCUUUCCUCCUUAAGGACCUCUGAUGAGCAUGCCUCUGGCUAGGGAUCUCCUUCAGCCCUCUCCAAAGAGAAGAGGAAAUAAAAAGCAGACCUGGUGCAGAGCCCCAAUUCCCACUUCGUGGAUAUGAAAUGUCCAGGAUGUUAUAAAAUUACCACAGUCUUUGGCCGUGUACAAACAGUAGUUUUAUGUGUUAGUUGCUCCAUUGUCCUGUCAGCCAACAGGAGGAAAAGCAAGGCUUGCAGCGCUAAAAGCACCUGGAAUCAAGAUGAGUGGGGAACCAUCCCCACAAGUACAUUUUGGAUUUUUAAAAAUGCACAGCAAAUCAUAGUGUUCUUGAUAUAUAAAAUUAUGAGUCUGUCAACAUUUGUAAUUUGGUUAAUAUCAGCUGCCUAUAUCAGCCUGGAAAGUUAUACCAUCCCUAGUCAAUUUCACUGCAUAUUUUUAAAAGGGCUUCUUAUUACUUCCUUAUAUAUAGGAUAUCCCCAAAAAUGUAUAUACACACUUUGAAUAAUUAUAAAGACAGUAUUUAUUAAAAUACAUUUCAUUUUUAAAAUUGAGCUAUCAGCUGUUAAAGUGGUAUGUAUGUUUUUUGGGACACCCUGUACAUACUACCAUUUGCACAUGGAAUCCCUCACCUUCCACUUUUUUUCCCCCUACUGAUUCCAAUGUAAUUAGCCAGUUAUUAAUAAAGGAACAAAGAGGGAAGGCCAGACAUAGGAAUGUCAUCUGGCCAGUUUCACCAGGAACUUUGUACUCCCCAGGGAGCCACCAGCCUUUUCCCUGUUAAUCUCUAGGGGAAGGGAUCCAACAAAGGGAAAUAGACACAUGCCCAGUAAAGUUGAGGUAACAUAGGGAAGGUAUUUGCUUGUCAAAUCACACCUAGGGACAGAGAUAGUUGGCCAGAAUGGGCAUGGCCACUGCAAGCCUGCCAAAAUUUGGGAAUACAUAAUCCUCUAAAGAAAGGAAUUCUCUUUCUUGUUGUGCUUAUGCACUUGGCUGGUGACUUCUGGAUUCCUGGCUCCUUAAGUUCUGUAUGGCCGGGGGCCGUGUGGACCCCACGUGCAAUGGACUAAUGGACUACAGGAGGAAACAAAAGCUAAGCUAGCCUGAUGCAGGAUUGGACCCGGCUCCAACAUGGAAAGGAACUCUGGACACUGGCUUUGAUUUUAGCUCUCCUGGAACCCCAGCUACACUUCUUCUAUGACUGACGCAAGGAAAAUGGGACUUUUGGAAACCCAGGGAUGUAAUUCCACAGAAAUAAAGCUUUCUACCAUAUCUUA